rnacentral:rRNA from 1 species
GUCCACGCCGUAAACGAUGGGUACUAGGCGUCGGGGGAGCGACCCCUCCGGUGCCGUCGCUAACGCAGUAAGUACCCCGCCUGGGGAGUACGGUCGCAAGACUGAAACUCAAAGGAAUUGACGGGGGCCCGCACAAGCGGUGGAGCAUGUGGUUUAAUUCGAAGCAACGCGAAGAACCUUACCUGGGCUUGACAUGUACGGGAAAGCCGGUGGAAACAUCGGCCCCUCUUGGAGUCCGUGCACAGGUGCUGCAUGGCUGUCGU